rnacentral:rRNA from 1 species
GACGAACGCUGGCGGCGUGCCUAAUACAUGCAAGUAGAACGCUGAAGAAAGGAGCCUGCUUCUUUUGGAUGAGUUGCGAACGGGUGAGUAACGCGUAGGUAACCUGCCCUGUAGCGGGGGAUAACUAUUGGAAACGAUAGCUAAUACCGCAUAACAGCUUUUGACACAUGUUAGAAGCUUGAAAGAUGCAAUUGCAUCACUACGAGAUGGACCUGCGUUGUAUUAGCUAGUAGGUAGGGUAACGGCCUACCUAGGCGACGAUACAUAGCCGACCUGAGAGGGUGAUCGGCCACACUGGGACUGAGACACGGCCCAGACUCUUACGGGAGGCAGCAGUAGGGAAUUUUCGGCAAUGGGGGCAACCCUGACCGAGCAACGCCGCGUGAGUGAAGAAGGUUUUCGGAUCGUAAAGCUCUGUUGUAAGAGAAGAACGUGUGUGAGAGUGGAAAGUUCACACAGUGACGGUAACUUACCAGAAAGGAC